rnacentral:rRNA from 1 species
CCCUUAGAUGUUCUGGGCCGCACGCGCGCUACACUGACAGAGCCAGCGAGUUUAUAACCUUGGCCGGAAGGUCUGGGUAAUCUUGUGAAACUCUGUCGUGCUGGGGAUAGAGCAUUGCAAUUAUUGCUCUUCAACGAGGAAUUCCUAGUAAGCGUGAGUCAUCAGCUCGCGUUGAUUACGUCCCUGCCCUUUGUACACACCGCCCGUCGCUACUACCGAUUGAAUGGCUUAGUGAGGUCUUGGGAUUGGCUUCGGGGAGCCGGCAACGGCACCCUGUCGCUGAGAACUUGAUCAAACUUGGUCAUUUAGAGGAAGUAAAAGUCGUAACA